GACGAACGCUGGCGGCGUGCUUAACACAUGCAAGUCGAACGGAAAGGCCCUGCUUGCAGGGUACUCGAGUGGCGAACGGGUGAGUAACACGUGGGUGAUCUGCCCUGCACUUCGGGAUAAGCCUGGUAAACUGGGUCUAAUACCGGAUAGGAGCCAUUUUUAGUGUGAUGGUUGGAAAGUUUUUUCGGUGUAGGAUGAGCUCGCGGCCUAUCAGCUUGUUGGUGGGGUAAUGGCCUACCAAGGCGGCGACGGGUAGCCGGCCUGAGAGGGUGGACGGCCACAUUGGGACUGAGAUACGGCCCAGACGCCGACGGGAGGCAGCAGUGGGGAAUAUUGCACAAUGGGCGCAAGCCUGAUGCAGCGACGCCGCGUGGGGGAUGACGGACUUCGGGUUGUAAACUCCUUUCGCUAGGGACGAAGCUUUUUGUGACGGUACCUAGAUAAGAAGCACCGGCUAACUACGUG
rnacentral:rRNA from 1 species